GAUGAACGCUGGCGGCGUGCCUAAUACAUGCAAGUCGAGCGAACGGACGAGAAGCUUGCUUCUCUGAUGUUAGCGGCGGACGGGUGAGUAACACGUGGAUAACCUACCUAUAAGACUGGGAUAACUUCGGGAAACCGGAGCUAAUACCGGAUAAUAUUUUGAACCGCAUGGUUCAACAGUGAAAGACGGUCUUGCUGUCACUUAUAGAUGGAUCCGCGCUGCAUUAGCUAGUUGGUAAGGUAACGGCUUACCAAGGCAACGAUGCAUAGCCGACCUGAGAGGGUGAUCGGCCACACUGGAACUGAGACACGGUCAAGACUCCGACGGGAGGCAGCAGUAGGGAAGCGUCCGCAAUGGGCGAAAGCCUGACGGAGCAACGCCGCGUGAGUGAUGAAGGUCUUCGGAUCGUAAAACUCUGUUAUUAGGGAAGAACAGAUGUGUAAGUAACUGUGCACAUCUUGACGGUACCUAAUCAGAAAGCCACGGCUAACUACGUG
rnacentral:rRNA from 1 species